GUGCUCACUUCGGCAGCUCAUAUAUACUAAAAUUGGAAUAAUACAGAGAAGAUUAGCACGGCCCCUGCCCAAGGAUGAUACACAAACUCACGAAGCGUUCCAUAUCUUU
ensembl:snRNA U6 U6 spliceosomal RNA